AACGCACAUUGCACCUCUCGCGAGGGAGGUAUGCCUGUCUGAGCGUCAUCAAAACCAAUGAAUCCCCAGGAUUUGUGUUGGGCUCCGCAUCGAAUGCGUUGCCUCGAAGCCAUGGUCUAACCUGCGGACGAGCUCCAAUCGGACCUGCCGUGGGCGUGGCCCAGACCUUCUGAAUUUGACCUCAGAUCAGGUAGGAAGACCGCCUGAACUUAA
rnacentral:misc_RNA from 1 species